CCUACGGGUGGCUGCAGUGGGGAAUAUUGGGCAAUGGGCGCAAGCCUGACCCAGCAACGCCGCGUGAAGGAAGAAGGCUUUCGGGUUGUAAACUUCUUUUAUGAGGGACGAAGAAAGUGACGGUACCUCAGGAAUAAGCUACGGCUAACUACGUGCCAGCAGCCGCGGUACUACGUAGGUGGCAAGCGUUAUCCGGAUUUAUUGGGUGUAAAGGGCGUGUAGGCGGGAAAGCAAGUCAGAUGUGAAACCUCAGGGCUCAACCCUGGGCCUGCAUUUGAAACUGUUUGUCUUGAGUGCUGGAGAGGCAAGCGGAAGUCCGUGUGUAGCGGUGAAAUGCGUAGAUAUACGGAGGAACACCAGUGGCGAAGGCGGAUUGCUGGACUGUAACUGACGCUGAGGCGCGAAAGCGUGGGGAGCAAACAGGAUUAGAUACCCUUGUAGUC
rnacentral:rRNA from 1 species